UCAGACGUGUCAAUACGGACGGAGAUUAGUUCUGCUACUGGAGCUAAAACUCUUGCAUGGACGCCACUUAAAAAUAAACCGUAGCAGUGUAGGUGUAGCCUUGGCUGUAGGUUUGCAGUGCGGGAGUGUUGGAGGUGUUUAUAAGGGAUCCUUUAUCUAACUUUCUGUCCAGGGAAGUCGCUCUAAAAGCUCAACUCUGUUCUGAGUCCUCCCCAUCACUACUUUGCUACUGGUGGCCCUUUUUACAGGAUUACUGUACAGCCAGAGGAGGACCAUAUAUAUUGUUUUAUUGCUAUGCAAGGAGCAGUUUGUGCAGAUUGUAGUUGGUAGCAGCUAACCAAAAAAAAGAAGAAAAAAAUGAACACUUAAGUGCCAGAGAACUGUUAAAGCAGGUGGAGGUUCUUCUACUUUUCUUUAAAACACUAAUCCCAUCAUAUUCCGGCUAAAAUGAACAAAAAGUAAAUGCUGAGAUUCUCAGUGCUGCAGCGCCCCCUGCUGGUCUUCGCCUUACACACAUCUGUUAUCACUCAUCGGUACCAGUGCUUUUUAUUAACUUUUGUUCAUUUUUAGGGGGGAAAGAUGACGACAACAAGGUAAAUAAGAAACAAGUUUAUUUGAAAAUGCAAUAAAUAUUGUAUAUUUACAUUAAGGAGUAAGGUAAUCAUAGUUAUUGAUCUAUUUUUAUGUUGUAAAAAGCUUGUAAUAUAGGAAAGAGAAAUGAUUAUAACAAUGUUCCCGUUCUGAUAGACUCUCUGUAGCACGGCUCUGGAUGUUUUGGCCAUCAGGGUGAAUAAGACGGCCGGAUGCGUGUGUGUGUGUGUGUGUGUGAGGUUUUUGCCAACGAGCCAACAUUUUGGGGGAUCCUGUGUGUGUGGGUGUGUGUGUGUGUGUGUGGGUGGCGGAUGAAAACACAAAACAAUUGAACUUCACUUCCGACACGUUUUGUGUCUCCUCCUGUUCUCACCGUGUCCGCUGUCGGAGCAGGAACCCUGUGGUCAUUUCAUGUUAAUCAACCAUGUUUUUAUCAUUUGAAAUAAUUUCAAAUAAAUAUGGGGAAAAAGGGUAACUGA